ACUGCGAAUCAUCUUCAAGACCCUUCAGAGUAUAAAAUCAACUGAUGAGUCAGAGACCUGGAUUCAUAAUUUGUUGCCACCUCAAGAUUUGAGUUCUCUUCAGGACAUGGAGGAAGAGCUGCAUAGUGAUUCUGACCUCCAGAAACAAAAGACAUCAGCUUCUCCAGGCAUUUCUUCAUUCUGAACAAUGUCUUGCUUGGUGGAAGAAUUAAGGGGAAUCAUCCUCAGGGCUUUGCCGACAAAUGUUGAGAACACCACCGAGCUUUUGAUUGAGAGACUUUUAG